GGUUAAGCGACUAAGCGUACACGGUGGAUGCCCUGGCAGUCAGAGGCGAUGAAGGACGUGCUAAUCUGCGAUAAGCGUCGGUGAGGUGAUAUGAACCGUUAUAACCGGCGAUUUCCGAAUGGGGAAACCCAGUGUGUUUCGACACACUAUCAUUAACUGAAUCCAUAGGUUAAUGAGGCGAACCGGGGGAACUGAAACAUCUAAGUACCCCGAGGAAAAGAAAUCAACCGAGAUUCCCCCAGUAGCGGCGAGCGAACGGGGAGGAGCCCAGAGCCUGAAUCAGUGUGUGUGUUAGUGGAAGCGUCUGGAAAGGCGCGCGAUACAGGGUGACAGCCCCGUACACAAAAAUGCACAUACUGUGAGCUCGAUGAGUAGGGCGGGACACGUGGUAUCCUGUCUGAAUAUGGGGGGACCAUCCUCCAAGGCUAAAUACUCCUGACUGACCGAUAGUGAACCAGUACCGUGAGGGAAAGGCGAAAAGAACCCCGGCGAGGGGAGUGAAAAAGAACCUGAAACCGUGUACGUACAAGCAGUGGGAGCCUCUUAAUGGGGUGACUGCGUACCUUUUGUAUAAUGGGUCAGCGACUUAUAUUCUGUAGCAAGGUUAACCGAAUAGGGGAGCCGAAGGGAAACCGAGUCUUAACUGGGCGUUAAGUUGCAGGGUAUAGACCCGAAACCCGGUGAUCUAGCCAUGGGCAGGUUGAAGGUUGGGUAACACUAACUGGAGGACCGAACCGACUAAUGUUGAAAAAUUAGCGGAUGACUUGUGGCUGGGGGUGAAAGGCCAAUCAAACCGGGAGAUAGCUGGUUCUCCCCGAAAGCUAUUUAGGUAGCGCCUCGUGAAUUCAUCUCCGGGGGUAGAGCACUGUUUCGGCAAGGGGGUCAUCCCGACUUACCAACCCGAUGCAAACUGCGAAUACCGGAGAAUGUUAUCACGGGAGACACACGGCGGGUGCUAACGUCCGUCGUGAAGAGGGAAACAACCCAGACCGCCAGCUAAGGUCCCAAAGUCAUGGUUAAGUGGGAAACGAUGUGGGAAGGCCCAGACAGCCAGGAUGUUGGCUUAGAAGCAGCCAUCAUUUAAAGAAAGCGUAAUAGCUCACUGGUCGAGUCGGCCUGCGCGGAAGAUGUAACGGGGCUAAACCAUGCACCGAAGCUGCGGCAGCGACACUAUGUGUUGUUGGGUAGGGGAGCGUUCUGUAAGCCUGUGAAGGUGGCCUGUGAGGGUUGCUGGAGGUAUCAGAAGUGCGAAUGCUGACAUAAGUAACGAUAAAGCGGGUGAAAAGCCCGCUCGCCGGAAGACCAAGGGUUCCUGUCCAACGUUAAUCGGGGCAGGGUGAGUCGACCCCUAAGGCGAGGCCGAAAGGCGUAGUCGAUGGGAAACAGGUUAAUAUUCCUGUACUUGGUGUUACUGCGAAGGGGGGACGGAGAAGGCUAUGUUGGCCGGGCGACGGUUGUCCCGGUUUAAGCGUGUAGGCUGGUUUUCCAGGCAAAUCCGGAAAAUCAAGGCUGAGGCGUGAUGACGAGGCACUACGGUGCUGAAGCGACAAAUGCCCUGCUUCCAGGAAAAGCCUCUAAGCAUCAGGUAACAUCAAAUCGUACCCCAAACCGACACAGGUGGUCAGGUAGAGAAUACCAAGGCGCUUGAGAGAACUCGGGUGAAGGAACUAGGCAAAAUGGUGCCGUAACUUCGGGAGAAGGCACGCUGAUAUGUAGGUGAAGCGACUUGCUCGUGGAGCUGAAAUCAGUCGAAGAUACCAGCUGGCUGCAACUGUUUAUUAAAAACACAGCACUGUGCAAACACGAAAGUGGACGUAUACGGUGUGACGCCUGCCCGGUGCCGGAAGGUUAAUUGAUGGGGUUAGCGGUAACGCGAAGCUCUUGAUCGAAGCCCCGGUAAACGGCGGCCGUAACUAUAACGGUCCUAAGGUAGCGAAAUUCCUUGUCGGGUAAGUUCCGACCUGCACGAAUGGCGUAAUGAUGGCCAGGCUGUCUCCACCCGAGACUCAGUGAAAUUGAACUCGCUGUGAAGAUGCAGUGUACCCGCGGCAAGACGGAAAGACCCCGUGAACCUUUACUAUAGCUUGACACUGAACAUUGAGCCUUGAUGUGUAGGAUAGGUGGGAGGCUUUGAAGUGUGGACGCCAGUCUGCAUGGAGCCGACCUUGAAAUACCACCCUUUAAUGUUUGAUGUUCUAACGUGGGCCCGUAAUCCGGGUUGCGGACAGUGUCUGGUGGGUAGUUUGACUGGGGCGGUCUCCUCCUAAAGAGUAACGGAGGAGCACGAAGGUUGGCUAAUCCUGGUCGGACAUCAGGAGGUUAGUGCAAUGGCAUAAGCCAGCUUGACUGCGAGCGUGACGGCGCGAGCAGGUGCGAAAGCAGGUCAUAGUGAUCCGGUGGUUCUGAAUGGAAGGGCCAUCGCUCAACGGAUAAAAGGUACUCCGGGGAUAACAGGCUGAUACCGCCCAAGAGUUCAUAUCGACGGCGGUGUUUGGCACCUCGAUGUCGGCUCAUCACAUCCUGGGGCUGAAGUAGGUCCCAAGGGUAUGGCUGUUCGCCAUUUAAAGUGGUACGCGAGCUGGGUUUAGAACGUCGUGAGACAGUUCGGUCCCUAUCUGCCGUGGGCGCUGGAGAACUGAGGGGGGCUGCUCCUAGUACGAGAGGACCGGAGUGGACGCAUCACUGGUGUUCGGGUUGUCAUGCCAAUGGCACUGCCCGGUAGCUAAAUGCGGAAGAGAUAAGUGCUGAAAGCAUCUAAGCACGAAACUUGCCCCGAGAUGAGUUCUCCCUGACCCUUUAAGGGUCCUGAAGGAACGUUGAAGACGACGACGUUGAUAGGCCGGGUGUGUAAGCGCAGCGAUGCGUUGAGCUAACCGGUACUAAUGAACCGUGAGGCUUAACCUU
rnacentral:rRNA from 1 species